rnacentral:rRNA from 1 species
GACGAACGCUGGUGGCGUGCUUAACACAUGCAAGUCGUACGGUAAGGCCCUUUCGGGGGUACACGAGUGGCGAACGGGUGAGUAACACGUGAGUAACCUGCCCACAACUUUGGGAUAACGCUAGGAAACUGGUGCUAAUACUGGAUAUGUGCUCCUGCUGCAUGGUGGGGGUUGGAAAGCUCCGGCGGUUGUGGAUGGACUCGCGGCCUAUCAGCUUGUUGGUGGGGUAGUGGCCUACCAAGGCGGCGACGGGUAGCCGGCCUGAGAGGGUGACCGGCCACAUUGGGACUGAGAUACGGCCCAGACUCCUACGGGAGGCAGCAGUGGGGAAUAUUGCACAAUGGGCGCAAGCCUGAUGCAGCAACGCCGCGUGCGGGAUGACGGCCUUCGGGUUGUAAACCGCUUUCAGCAGGGACGAAGCUUUUUGUGACGGUACCUGCAGAAGAAGCACCGGCUAACUACGU